AACGUAGGACGCAAGCGUUAUCCGGAGUUACUGGGCGUAAAGGGCGUGUAGGCGGCUUUUCAAGUGGCUCGUGAAAGACUUCGGCUCAACCGGGGGAGGUCGGGUCAGACUGGGAAGCUGGAGGAUGUCAGAGGGACACGGAAUUCCGGGUGUAGUGGUGAAAUGCGUAGAGAUCCGGAGGAACACCAGUGGCGCAGGCGGUGUCCUGGGACGUACCUGACGCUGAGACGCGAAAGCAUGGGGAGCGAACGGG
rnacentral:rRNA from 1 species